UAUUUCACCACAAUUCUGUUCACUAUAUUCAGCAAACGAGCUUCCGUUCAUCUUUCUUUCGUCUUUAACCGUCUUCGUGUGAAGUAGAAAAAUGAGAGCUAAGUGGCGUAAGAAGCGUAUGCGGAGGUUGAAGCGUAAACGCAGGAAGAUGCGUGCAAGGUCCAAGUAAACCCGUCGACGGCACUGAAGAAUGUUUUUGUACAAGCUUCAACCUGAUAUUCCAUUAGAGAGCUUCGAGUAAAGAUUUGGCUGCCAAGUAUUUGGAGGCGUUUCGGAAAAUUUACAUAUUUAAUGUAAAUUAAUUGGAAUAAAGAGAAAUCUUUGAAUAUUUACUAGAAGUGAUAAAAA
rnacentral:lncRNA from 1 species